rnacentral:rRNA from 1 species
GAUGAACGCUGGCGGCGUGCUUAACACAUGCAAGUCGAGCGAAGCGGCUGAAUUGAUUCUUCGGAUGAUUUUCAGUUGACUGAGCGGCGGACGGGUGAGUAACGCGUGGGUGACCUGCCCCAUACCGGGGGAUAACAGCUGGAAACGGCUGCUAAUACCGCAUAAGCGCACAGAGCUGCAUGGCUCGGUGUGAAAAACUCCGGUGGUAUGGGAUGGGCCCGCGUCUGAUUAGGCAGUUGGCGGGGUAACGGCCCACCAAACCGACGAUCAGUAGCCGGCCUGAGAGGGCGACCGGCCACAUUGGGACUGAGACACGGCCCAAACUCCUACGGGAGGCAGCAGUGGGGGAUAUUGCACAAUGGGGGAAACCCUGAUGCAGCGACGCCGCGUGAGCGAAGAAGUAUUUCGGUAUGUAAAGCUCUAUCAGCAGGGAAGAUAAUGACGGUACCUGACUAAGAAGCCCCGGCUAA